rnacentral:misc_RNA from 1 species
GAUGAAGAACGUAUCGAAAUGCGAUAAGUAAUGUGAAUUGCAGAAUUCAGUGAAUCAUCGAAUCUUUGAACGCACAUUGCGCCCCUCGGUAUUCCGAGGGGCAUGCCUGCUCGAGCGUCAUUAUAACCCCUCAAGCUCAGCUUGGUGUUGGGGCCUGCUGCACUGGCAGCCCUUAAAAUCAGUGGCGGCGCCAUCUGGCUCUAAGCGUAGUAAUUCUUCUCGCUAUGGAGUCCUGGUGGAUGCUUGCCAUCAACCCCCAAUUUUUCUAUGGUUGACCUCGGAUCAGGUAGGGAUACCCGCUGAACUUAAGCAUAUCAAUAAGCGGAGGA